rnacentral:rRNA from 1 species
ACUCCUACGGGAGGCAGCAGUGGGGAAUUUGGACAAUGGGCGCAAGCCUGAUCCGGCGAUGCCGCGUGAGUGAAGAAGGCCUUCGGGUUGUAAAGCUCUUUUGUCAGGGAAGAAACGGUGAGAGCUAAUAUCUUUUGCUAAUGACGGUACCUGAAGAAUAAGCACCGGCUAACUACGUGCCAGCAGCCGCGGUAAU